GAUGAACGCUGGCGGCGUGCCUAAUACAUGCAAGUCGAGCGAACAGAUAAGGGGCUUGCUCCUUUGACGUUAGCGGCGGACGGGUGAGUAACACGUGGGUAACCUACCUAUAAGACUGGGAUAACUUCGGGAAACCGGAGCUAAUACCGGAUAACAUUUGGAACCGCAUGGUUCUAAAGUGAAAGAUGGUUUUGCUAUCACUUAUAGAUGGACCCGCGCCGUAUUAGCUAGUUGGUAAGGUAACGGCUUACCAAGGCGACGAUACGUAGCCGACCUGAGAGGGUGAUCGGCCACACUGGAACUGAGACACGGUCCAGACUCCUACGGGAGGCAGCAGUAGGGAAUCUUCCGCAAUGGGCGAAAGCCUGACGGAGCAACGCCGCGUGAGUGAUGAAGGGUUUCGGCUCGUAAAACUCUGUUAUUAGGGAAGAACAAAUGUGUAAGUAACUGUGCACGCCUUGACGGUACCUAAUCAGAAAGCCACGGCUAACUACGUG
rnacentral:rRNA from 1 species